CCCUUAGAUGUUCUGGGCCGCACGCGUGCUACACUGAGUGGAUCAGCGGGUCAGGUUGCGCGAAAGCGUUUCCUAAUCUUUAAAUCCGCUCGUGAUGGGGAUUGACGGUUGCAAUUUUCUGUCAUGAACGAGGAAUACCUUGUAAGCGCGGGUCAUCAUCCCGCGCUGAAUACGUCCCUGCCCUUUGUACACACCGCCCAUCGCUCCUACCGAUUGAGUGGUCCGGUGAGGCUUUGGGAUCUGAGCGGAAAGAGCGUUUCGCUGUUUCUGCUCGGAAAACUCAGUCGAACCUUAUCAUUUAGAGGAAGGAGAAGUCGUAACA
rnacentral:rRNA from 1 species